rnacentral:rRNA from 1 species
UCGGGAAUUUUGGGCAAUGGGCGAAAGCCUGACCCAGCAACGCCGCGUGAAGGAUGAAGUAUUUCGGUAUGUAAACUUCGAAAGAAUAGGAAGAAUAAAUGACGGUACUAUUUAUAAGGUCCGGCUAACUACGUGCCAGCAGCCGCGGUAAUACGUAGGGACCAAGCGUUGUUCGGAUUUACUGGGCGUAAAGGGCGCGUAGGCGGCAAUUCAAGUCAUCUGUGAAAUCUCCGGGCUUAACUCGGAACGGCCAAGUGAUACUGUCGCGCUAGAGUGCAGAAGGGGCAAUCGGAAUUCUUGGUGUAGCGGUGAAAUGCGUAGAUAUCAAGAGGAACACCUGAGGCGAAGGCGGGUUGCUAGGCUGACACUGACGCUGAGGCGCGAAAGCUAGGGUAGCAAA